ACCCUGGAGUCAGCUGGGGUGGUCUGCCCCUACAGAGCCAUCGAGUCCCUGUACAGGAAGCACUGUCUUGAACAGGGGAAGCAGCAGCUGAUACCCCAGGAGGCUGGCCUGGCCGAGGAGUUCCUGCUCACUGACAAUAGUGCCAUAUGGCAAACGGUAGAAGAACUGGAUUACUUAGAAGUGGAGGCUGAGGCCAAGAUGGAGAACUUGCGAGCUCCAGUGCCAGGUCAACCCCUAGUUCUGGUGAGCAGUGCGCCGGCUCAGGGGUUCUCUGGGUGGGUGCUGGGUGGAAAGGGCUUCUUCUUGCCCACUAGUUCUUCCCAGCCAGAGUUCCCUAGGUCUUAGGGGGGUUGGAGAUGCCAUCCUGCCCCUGGGAGGCCCCACACGUGUUGGAGGCCAAGGAGAAAGCCUGAGUGAGACCUCAUGGCCAUCUUGUCAUUUCCCAGCUGAUGACGACAGUUUCAGGCCCUUUUCCCACCCCCUACCCCAUGGCCCUUGCUGAAUGCAGGUGCUGGAGCAGGGCCUGAUCUAGGUGUGUGGCCCUCAC
rnacentral:sRNA from 1 species